UUGAAGAGUUUGAUCAUGGCUCAGAUUGAACGCUGGCGGUAGCUUUUAUACAUGCAAGUCGAGCGGUAACAGACAUUUUGAUUCAGCUUGCUGAAUCUCGUGCUGACGAGCGGCGAACGGGUGAGUAACGCGUAGGAAUCUACCCAGUAGCGGGGGAUAGCCCGAGGAAACUCGGAUUAAUACCGCAUACGCCCUAAGGGGGAAAGGGGGCAGUUUACUGCUCUCACUAUUGGAUGAGCCUGCGUAAGAUUAGCUUGUUGGUGGGGUAAUGGCCUACCAAGGCAACGAUCUUUAGCUGGUCUGAGAGGACGAUCAGCCACAUUGGGACUGAGACACGGCCCAGACUCCUACGGGAGGCAGCAGUAAAGAAUAUUGGACAAUGGGGGAAACCCUGAUCCAGGCAUACCGCGUGUGUGAAGAAGGCCCUAGGGUUGUAAAGCACUUUAAGCAAUGAAGAAGAUAUUAAAGUUAAUACCUUUAAUAUUUGACGUUAAUUGCAGAAUAAGUACCGGCUAACUCCGUGCCAGCAGCCGCGGUAAUACGGAGGGUACAAGCGUUAAUCGGAAUUACUGGGCGUAAAGCGCGCGUAGGCGGUUUAGUAAGUUGUAUGUGAAAGCCCCGGGCUCAACCUGGGAACUGCAUACAAAACUACUAAACUAGAGUACGAGAGAGGAGAGUAGAAUUUGAAGUGUAGCGGUGAAAUGCGUAGAUAUUUCAAGGAAUACCAAUGGCGAAGGCAGCUCUCUGGCUCGACACUGACGCUGAGGUGCGAAAGCGUGGGUAGCAAACAGGAUUAGAUACCCUGGUAGUCCACGCCGUAAACGAUGAGGACUAGCCGUUGGGGGGAAUUAACCCUUCAGUGGCGCAGCUAACGCAUUAAGUUCUCCGCCUGGGGACUACGGCCGCAAGGCUAAAACUCAAAUGAAUUGACGGGGGCCCGCACAAGCGGUGGAGCAUGUGGUUUAAUUCGAUGCAACGCGAAGAACCUUACCUACCCUUGAAAUCCAGCGAAGUUUUCAGAGAUGAGAAUGUGCCUUCGGGAACGCUGUGACAGGUGUUGCAUGGCUGUCGUCAGCUCGUGUCGUGAGAUGUAUGGUUAAGUCCAGUAACGAGCGCAACCCCUAUCCUUAUUUGCCAGCGUGUAAUGGCGGGGACUAUAAGGAGACUGCCGGUCAUAAACCGGAGGAAGGCGGGGACGACGUCAAGUCAUCAUGGCCCUUAUGGGUAGGGCUACACACGUGCUACAAUGGGUGGUACAGAGGGUCGCCAAAGCGCGAGCUGGAGCCAAACCCUUAAAACCAUUCGUAGUCCGGAUUGGAGUCUGCAACUCGACUCCAUGAAGUCGGAAUCGCUAGUAAUCGCGAAUCAGAAUGUCGCGGUGAAUACGUUCUCGGGCCUUGUACACACCGCCCGUCACAUCAUGGAAGUGGGUUGCACCAGAAGUGGUUAGUCCAACCUUCGGGAAGACGAUCACCACGGUGUGAUUCAUGACUGGGAUGAAGUCGUAACAAGGUAGCCCUAGGGGAACCUGGGGCUGGAUCACCUCCUU
rnacentral:rRNA from 1 species